rnacentral:rRNA from 1 species
AAAGCGUGCGCAGGCGGUUUUGUAAGACUGUCGUGAAAUCCCCGGGCUCAACCUGGGAAUGGCGAUGGUGACUGCAAGGCUAGAGUUUGGCAGAGGGGGGUAGAAUUCCACGUGUAGCAGUGAAAUGCGUAGAUAUGCGGAGGAACACCGAUGGCGAAGGCAAUCCCCUGGACCUGUACUGACGCUCAUGCACGAAAGCGUGGGGAGCAAACAGGAUUAGAUACCCGGGU